GGGGCUGUGGCUCAGUGGUAGAGCAUUUGCCUCUCAUGUGUGAGAACCUGGGUUCGAUCCUCAGCACCA
rfam:Ictidomys tridecemlineatus contig031522, whole genome shotgun sequence.